CUUCUGCAAAAAAAAAAAAAAUUAUUUGCAUUGUUUAUCUGAAAUUCAAAGUCACCUGGGCAGCCCAUAUUUUAUUUGGCAAAUCUAGCUGUAAGUGCAAAAUGUACAUCAGCUCUCAAACGGUUAUGAAGACCAAAAACACGCCCCAAAUAAAAGGUAAAAUGGCUCAAUAAAUCUGAUAUGGAUCCCACAUUGAGAUGAAAAUCAUGAACAUAUUUUGGACAUCCUGGAUUAAGCGAGACACAUGAUUAAAAUUACCUUGCCCACCGCUUUGUUUAAUGAGGUUAUUGGAAAAGUCACAGUUACACAAGCAGUGGUCGCUGGGCUUUGGUGGGAUGCUGGCACCUGCUGCUUGUGCAAACUGGAACAUUCCUGGGUUUAGCAUCGAAAGCCCCGCCAGGUUCCAGGAACCCUUUACUCCUGGGGAAACCAGGAAGGCUGGUCACCCAGGGGCACUGCAAGCUCCUAAGAGCCAUCCUUCUGAGGCUCAGUUUUCCCUCCUGGGCACUGUACUGCCCAUGUGUGGCUGGCAAGGUGGUAACAGCUGGUCCUGACAGCAGCCCAUGCUUGGUGUACAGCCCCCGCCCCUAGGGGUCUCAAACCUCUCCAGGUGCUCAGGAGCUGGGGAACCAGUGGAGGGGAGGCAGGAGUAGCCUCAGGGCGCUUCCCUGGGGGUCCCGGCAUUGAGACAGAUCGCCCUGCCCCAUAUGAAACCUCCCUCCCUCCCUCAGAAAUCCCAGGACUGACCACAGGGGCAGCUCGAAGUCCCUCCUCAUCCCUCUCCUCUGUGGCGGCCCCCACGGCUCUGCCAUGUGCUGGGCACCUCCAGGUGCUGGGCACUGUGGACAGAAGUUUCUUUACAUGAAGCUGGCGCUCUGAGAUGCCAAUCUUGGGCCUGAGGUCACACAGCAUGGGUGUCAGGACUGGGGCUUGAACUGGGGCUGCGACCACAGAGCCUGGGUGCCUCUGGGAGAAAGGCUGACAGCCAAGGAAAGGAGAGUGCCUACUUCCUGUCUCGGCCCAAAGGUGCAGGCACGGAGUUCUCCUGAAGACCCCGCCUAGCUCCACAGCUGCCCCCUUUAAAAGGUGCCCGCAUUGCAUGGCGUUUUGGGGAUCCAUGCACUGGACCUGUUAAGCAUCCGGUGAGCAAGGCGUGGUGUUCUUAUCCUCCCAUUCCACAGGCAGGGAAACUGAGGCCCUGAGAAUGUGAGAAGUGGCCCCGAGUCCCUGCAGGUGGCAGAGCUGAGGCCGGGACUGGGUUCUGCCUGGUGCCCUGGCAGGACAAGAGCGGGCCUGUCCAGCGCGUGACAGGAGAACUAAUAUUUGCCCUCCCCGUUUACAGAGCCCCGUCACCCCCCCUUAUCUCACCCAUUCACUCCCCCAACCCACAGAGGUGGGCAAAUAUUUUCAAUAAGUUCAGUUUACAGAUGAAGAAACCCAGAGAGACUUGCCCAAGGCCACUGGGCAAUGAAGUCGGGGGUGGGGGACAUUCAGACUUCACUCUGUGUGGUGCCAGAGCCAGCUGCCAGGGGUCAGCGCAGGUUCAUGCCCAGGUAGUGAGCAUAGACCCCCCCUGGGGGGGGGGAACGUGUCCAAGUUGGGGGAGCCUGUGCUCCCCCCCCAACCCCCACACGGAGGGAACGGGGCUCUCCUGCCCCAGGGAGGAGCAUCUGCCCGGGGCUGAGCCUGGGGUCUCCAGACACAGUCUCUGCUUCCCUCCUCUUCUUUUCCUUAAGAGCCAGGGGGAACGUUCUGGCAGGAGAAUGAAUGUGUCUGCGCAACAGUGAGGGUGUGAAAGGCCUCCACUUUCAAGUCAGACCAAUCAGGAUUCUGGCUCCAUCCCUCUCAGCUGUGUGACUUUGGGCGAGUGACUUAACCUCUCUGAACUUCUGUUUCCUCGUCUGGGAGCUGUGGAUUAUAGGCAGAGCAGUGCUUCUCAUCCCAGCUGUACCUCAGAAUCCUUUCCAGGCUGGCAGGUGGAUUUAAAGAGACACUAAGCCAGGCUCCCGUCCCAGAGAUUCUGAUGUCACGGGGCUGGGAUGUGGCCGGACAGGGGAAGUACCGCCGUGGUCCCCAAGUGCAGGAGGAGUUGGGAGCCUCUGUUCCUGCAGCUGCUGGGGGAUGAGCUGAGGCACAGCCUAGGGAGUGCUUGGCUUAUGGAGGUGCCCAAUACACUGGACUCCCUUCCACCCUGGCGGCCCAUCUUCUGGUAAAUCACAACCGUGAUGCUUUGCAGGAAUAGCCUUUGUGAGGUUUAAAAGAGUCAGGUCACCAGGACAGCAGGGGCCAGCUGGUGACCCUGGUGGGACCUCCACCAACUGGCUGGACCGAAACGUCACCUUGCUCAUUUACUCAGGUCCCCCAACGUGGUUCUCCUGACUUUGACCUUGAACUCCUUGGUCAAAUGGGAGGCCCUGACCUUGACCUCCGCGGCUUUUCAUCUUAUUCUCCUUAUGCACGGCCAUCCUCUGGGCCAGAAUGCCAAUCCUACGGGAAAACCCUUAAGUGACAAAUGGCCACAAAAGACAAGGAGACACCCACCAAGAAGUGACAGUCGCAGUAAAAGCUAAGCACCUUCGGGAGUUCCCGGGUAGUCUAGGGGGUUGGGAGUUCCCUGGUGGUCUAGUGGUUACGAUUCGGUGCUUUCAUCACUGAGGCCCAGGUGCAAUCCCUGUUCUGGGAAACUGAGAUCCCACAUCAAGCCACUGCAUGCCACAGCCCCAAACAAAAAGCAAACCAAACAAACAACUAAGCAACUUCUGUUCUGGCCACUGAGUCCAGUCCAGUCAACGGGGCCAAUGCACACACAACGAACACAGUGCAGGCUUUAGAAAUGGCAGGUACAGAGCUGGGAAGCAACCUGGAAACCCUUUAUGAUAGAAGCAAGGGACGCAGACAAUGAAAUUGUGGGCCUGUGGGCAGGAGCUGGAAAAGAAUCAGAAGAAAGAGAGGAAGCUGGAAUGUUUGCCGGAGCCAAGGAAUCAUAGAUGGAUUUCUAAAAUUCGUAUUUUCAUUAUCUUUGUGUCAUCAAUAACAACAUUCAUGAGAGAAUUUGAGACAGGAAAUAUCUGUUUCACUCUGUUUAUUGAUGUGCGCCUAACACAGGGCGUAGGACACAGCACUAGCUCAAUAAACACUGACUGAAUGACUGAAUGAAUCUUGCUGCUUUCAGACGUUCCCGGUGGACUCUUAAAAGAUUUUGAGCAUAAAUGACCUCUCGAUGCUUUGUAAAAAUGUGCAUAUCAUUUGGCAUGCCUUCUGUAUAUUUAAAUCUUUGAUGACAACUUUGAAGCGGUCAAGGUUAAAGCCAGAGCCCUGUGGAAUACCAUUAGAGACCCUUCCACCCGUGGCCACGGCUGUGUCAUUGGCAGAGUGGGGAGUGGAUAGGGUCCUGUCUGUGGCAUCAGCGACUCUGGCUUGUGUCUCUGGAACUUCCUAGCUGUGCAUCCUUGGGCAAGUUGCUUCACUCCUCUGAGCUUCCAUCUCCUUGUUUAGAAAACAGGGACGUCUGUCUCCAGGGCGGCUCGCGGUUUCUCACACUGAGGGUUCUCAGUAAAUGUGGGUGCCCCCGCCUCUGCUUCCCACCAUCUGGGCAUUUUCACUCUGGCAGAGUCAUUUUCCAGCCACACAUAUCUACGCCUCGCCUGAAGCAUCCUCUGGGCCAGUGGUGAUCAAAGCGAGGUUCCUGGACCACCAGCAGCCUCAGCAGCACCUGAGAAAUCAUUAGAAAGGCAGCUUCUCUGGCCCCAGCCUAGAUGCACUAGAUCAGAAGUGAGCCCAAGCCAUCUGCAUUGCCACAAGGCUUCUGGGGGACUCUGAGCCACGGCCACCCUCCGGACCUGUCUCCUGGCCCCACGAGACAAAGGAAUGACAGCCAUGUCCCUCCACCGCUCCUGGAGACCACGAGCGGAGUCCUGAGGCCACUCCUUCUUUCUCCCUCUGGCUGGGAACCCUUCAGUUUGUGAUCUGAACACCUGCCUCCCUCUUCCCUCAGAAACUUGGGGCCCAUCUGCUUGCUCCUGACCUCCAGGGUCCUGCUGGCGGCCUGUGAGUCCUUUAAGGGCAUGUCCAAGGGGCUCGGUGGCACCAGGAACUGUUGGACCUGUCCCUCCCACAAGCUUCCUGCCCUCCCAGCAGGUGCAUGGCUCCUUCUGUUCCAAGUUCAUUGUCCUGGAAGGAGAAGCAGCCCUGGGGCCGCUGAGGAGCGAGGGCAUCACUUCCUUUGUUACUUUUGCCCCACAUGCACUGAAAAAAAGCCCUGUUUGUUGCCCUUAUCAGGUUUCACAAACCCUUCGGGCUUUGCCUUCCUGGGUGCAGGGGUCAGGCCUCCGACUGUAACACAAGCAAGACCUUUCACCGGGACCGGACCGGAUGCGGGGGCUGGAAGAAGAGCCCUGGAGCAUUUCACGUGUAUCUCCGCAGAGAGCACCUGUGCAGUCCGGGGUUGGGGGCUGUGGGGCUUCAGGGCCUCAGGAAACCGAUUCCAGACUCUGUCCUUUUCCCACGGAGGCCCCACCGUCUCCUGUGAACUUAUAAACCGCAGAGCGGACCCUGGGCCACCUCCAGGGGCUCCUGGAUGCCCUCAUGACUAGCAGGCAGGUCCAGCAGGUGCUGACCUAGAGGGGUCCCCUGCCCUCCCCAGGGUCCCCCAGGUGCCCAGGGCAUCCCAGCUGAGAGGACUGGGAGGGGAACACACUGGGGGGAGGCGGGGAGCAGGAGCUGUCCUUCUGUGCUGAGAGGCCAUUUGACCUCUCCCCUGGGAGCAGGAGAGGUUGGGGUGUCGGGACCCAGGUGUCUGGCUGGAGUGGAAGUGUGGGUGCUUUAAGCAAUGGAUGGUGUUGAAAGUCUGGGGAUGGGAGGAGAUCACAGAGAAGCGGGGUCGGGAGCGAGAAGAGGCUAGGAUGCGGCCAAGAGGAACUGCAUUGUCCCAACACCUGCUCAGGUGCCCCUGUCCCCACUAACCUGGGCGACGGCGGGGAGCGGCGGGGAAGCCCUGCUCCUCAGAGCCCAGCAGUGCUCGGAGGGUGCGUCUUCACAGGGCCACCGACUCUGGGCCACCGUGGAUCACAGGCAGACCCCAGGAGGAUCUUGCAAGGCAGCGGAGUGGCCCCACUGGCUCAGCCUGAGGUGACAGGGCAGCCCAAGGGAGGGAGGGAGAAGUGACCGCUGUGGCAGAGAGCAGCCCGAAUGGACAGAGAGACAGACGCCAGGCUGGUGCUCAGGGCUUUGUGUAUGCUCAAUGUUUACUUUUUUUUUUUUUUUUUUUGCCUUUUCUAGGGCUGCUCCUGCAGCAUGUGGAGGUUCCCAGGCUAGGGGCCUACGCCAGAGCCACAGCAACGCGGGAUCCGAGCCAUGUCUGCGACCUACACCACCGUUCUCUGCAACGCCAGAUCCUCAACCCACUGAACGGAGCCAGGGAUCGAACCUGCAACCUCAUGGUUCCUAGUCAGAUUCGUUACCCACCGCGCCACAAAAGGAACUCCAUCAGCCACAUUUACAGAGCAGCAAACCAAAGGACAGCAAGGGGACGAGCCAGGCAGCUUAAUGGCAGCAACACCUCCUACCUUUCUGUCUUUUGUCUAUCUUUCCAACUGUCUGUCUGUCCAGUUGCAUCUGAUUCCUUCUCCAAACACACAGAGAGGCUUCCUUGGGCGGGGUUUUGCUUUGAAGUCCUGAGACAAGCUUGGUCUCCUUUGAUACGAUCCUGAGGCGAGACCAAACGGAGCAAGAGCUGGCUCCUGGUCACUCGCUGCCGUCAUCUUUGUCAUCGUCCCCAUCAUCCGUCAUCGCCUCCUUCACCAUCACCACCUUCUUUUUUUAAUUUUUAUUUUUGCUUUUCAGGGCUGCACCUGCGGCAUAUGGAGGUUCCCAGCCUAGGGGUCGAGUCAGAGCUGUAGCCGCCGGCCGACACCCCAGCCAUGGCAACACUGGAUCUGAGCCGCAUCUGUGACCUACACCACAGCUCAGGGCAGUGCCGGAUCCUUAACUCACUGAGCGAGACCAGGGAUCAAACCAGCCUCCUCCUGGAUACCAGUCAGGUUUUUAACCCGCUGAGCCGCCCUGGGAACUCUUUGUCAUCCUCAUCAUUUUCAUUGUCGCUGUCACCUUCAGCAGCAGCAGAAGCAGCAGCAUCUUUAGCAGCAGUACCCCUGAAGAGCAACCCCGGGAGGGUGCUUUAUAUACGGUUCCAAGUUUCCUGCCACGGCCAAGCACCGCUUGUCCAUUUAAAGGGGGACAUCCGAUGGUGGCCCCAAGGCACUGCGAUGAGCCCUGGGGUAAGGACAUGGCUGGGACAGGGGGGGUGCCUGUCCACAGAGGUGAGAGCUCCACCUGGCUCACAGGCCUGCACCCGGCAGGACCUGACAGGCUCCUUGGCCCGACUGGGGAGCUAGGGUGCCGGGCAGUCUGCCACCUGACCCCCACAGCCGCCCGCCUUCUGCAGUGCUGGGGUGCGGCCCGCAGGCACAGUCAGGUCCGGGCAGGGCCUGGGAGGCUCUGCAUGUUUGGUGCGCGGCUGCAGGGAGAGGAGCAGCCUGGCUGCCUGGGCUUGGAGAGGAGACUUGCCCAGGUGUGUGUGCAGGGGCCCCGGCCAGCCUCACCCGGGACAGUGAUGCACGCCCGGCGGUGACGCGUGAACACUGGAAUCCCAGGCACUGGGGCUUGGGCAUCCUUAGGCUGGCAUGGCUCUGCUCUCUCCACCAGUCCGUGCAAGGAUGGGCUUGUCCGCCUCCGGCCAUCAAGGAUUCUGGACCUGACUCCAGGCCACCAUGGCCUUCUUCCUCCUUCUGGAACCCAGCCUCCACCCUCUAGCGAUGAGGGUGGACAGAUGCUGUCUCCCCAGCCAGGCGAUAGGACCCAUCCUUUCUGGUCUUGGGCCCUCCUCCCCUGGGACCUCUGGGGGGUCCCCCAAGAGCCGAGGUGCAGGGUCAUGGGCACCAGGACAUUGACGUUCGGGGGAGCCGUCCCACGGGCCCAAUGCCCUCUUUCCCAGCUGGAGAAGCUGAGGACACGAGGGGGGUGGUUCCUCUAGGGCCACACCCAGGACUGGGCCCUGGGGAGCAGCUUCUCUCUGCUUCCUCCUGGAAAGGCCAUGACCUCUGGGGAGGCGGGUCCAAGUCCCUCUGCCCUUCAGAGACUCAGUCAGCAGGAAUUUCCGCACAGCCCCGUGCUAGGAGGUGGGCAGGGGACGGUGGAGGAAGAUGCAGGUCCUGCCCCCGAGGAGACAACGACCCAGCGGGGAGAGGGGCAGACAAGCUCGUGAAGAAACGUCCUGCCACUGGUCUGGUCACAUCAGGGAAGGCCCUCGGGGGACACCUGGGCCUGGAGCCUGGAUGGCGAGGAGGCCUUCUGCACUAGAGGAGGCCUUCCGGGUGGGGCCGUGGCAGGUGCAAAGGCCCUGAGGUUGGAGGAACCAUCCUCAAGACGGGGCAGGCGUGGGACUGAGGGCCCGAGCCGAGGCCGGGAGGCCAACAGCGGCCAGGCCACGGAGGACUUGGCAGCCGUGGAAGGCAUGUGGCCUUUCUCCUGGGAGCGGAGGGGAGACCCAGAGGAUGACAGAACUGGAGCCGCUUUUGAAGAGACUGUGGAGGAGGAAAAGGAUCGGAUUCGGAGCCCCUUCCAGAUAGCAAGUUCCGCAGAGACCCAGAGACUGCAGGUGUGGCUGGUCCUGACCCUGGCCUUGGACGAGUGCCCCACACCCAAGGUCUCCACGGCCCCUCCUCCCAGGCCUCCUCUAAGACCUGCCAGCCCAGAGGUCCUGGCAGGCAUCUCUUGGACACAGUCCCAGGGCGUGGGACUUGAUGGCUGAGUGUGCUGAUCCCCAGGAGGGGGCCCCCAGAGCAAGGGGGCAGGAAGUCCUGUCACUUCCCUGCCAGAGACAUCCCCCAUCUGUCCCUCACUGCGGGUCCUCAUCUUGCGCCUGCGUUGUCCUGCAGGGCACGAACCUACAUCAUCACUGUUCAUACAGCCAGGUGUAAUUUAUAACUUACAGGGUCGGGCACGAUUCUUUUUCUCCCCCCUUUUAUUUAUUUAUUUUUUUGCUUUUUUAGGGCUGCACCUGUGGCACAUAGGAGUUCCCAGAUGAGGGGCUGCAUCAGAGCUGCAGCUACCAGCACAUGCCACAGUCAUGCCAGAUCUGAGCCACAUCUGUGACCCACAACCACAGCUCACGGCAACGCCAGAUCCUUAACCCACUGAGCGAGGCCAGGGAUCGAACCCAUAUCCUCAUGGGUACUAGUCGGGUUCUUAACCCACUGAGCCACAAUGGGGACUUCGUUCUUUUUUCUUUUUAUGGCCACACCUGCAGCAUAUGGGAGUUCCCAUAGGGGUGGAAUUGGAGCUGCAUAUGUGGUGUAAGCCACAGCCACGGCAACACUGGAUCUGAGCCACAUCUGUGAUCUAUUCUGGCAGCUUAUGGCAACACAGGAUCCUUAACCCACUGAGCAAGGCCAGGGAUUGAACUUGCAUCCUCACAGGGACAAUGUUGCACCUUAACCCACUGAGCCACAAUGGGAACUCCUGUUUUUGGUCACCCGCAGCAUGCAAAUUCCCAGGCCAGGGAUCGAACUUGUGACACAACAGUGACCUGAGCCACUGCAGGGACAACGCCGGAUCCUUAACUCGCUGAGUCACCAGGGAACUCUGAAAUGCACGCUUUUCAAGUUUGCAGCUGUGCAAGCCUGUGUGACCUCCACCCAGGUCACAACGUGGACACGCCCAGCCCCCAGGACACCUGUCUUGUGAGGCUGGCCCCCGGGCGUUCGUGUUGCUUGCUUUCCAUCUUGCCAUUGGUGGAAUCGCACAGAAGGUUCUCUCAUGUCUGGAUCUCCGGCUGGACACGGUGGCCCUGGGAGCCGCCCACACUGAUCUGGGGUUGCGGGGCGGGGGGCAUCCCUCUUUUUACCGCUGCACAGAGCCUCACAUCUGUGCACACCCCCACCCCAGCGUGUGGGUGCACUUCCAGGACACAGGGCUGUUGCCAGCUCUUGCCGUGACUGUUCCCGAGCCCACUUUCGUGUGGACACCUGCUUCGUUUAUUGGGGUAAACGCAUGGAAGUGAACCUGCUGGGUCCUGGGGAAGGUGAGUGUGUGUGCUUUUAUUAAGACGCUGCCCUUGGCUUUCCCCAGCCCUGGCACCAGCCGCCUUCCUCCACGAGAAGUGGCCACGCCAGGGCCUGGCUGGCUUUGCAGGCGGCCCCUGCCUUGGGGCGGGGGGAGAUGUUCCAACUUCCUCCGCGGGGUCCUCCUCCGCCGUCCGCCCUGCCUCUCACCGCAGCUGUGUCUCUGGCUCCGUCCCACCCUGAACCUCACGUUCCAGCUGCAUCAAAGGCCCACAGUUCCCUGCACACACGUCAUCUCUGUCCUUCUGCACGAACUGUCCUUUCCACCGGGAGCACGAGUCACCCUCCGGGGGCGGCCGGCUGCUUUGUCGUCUAAGAUCUAAGAGCACGUCUUCUAGGACCUGCUGACGUCUCCGGGUCCCGCCCUGCAUCCUGAGGCCCACAUCUGGCUGCCGGCUCUGAGCUGCCUUGGUCCAAGGAAGGCCUUUAAACCACACUGCCUCCCCUUCAUGCUCAGAACCCAGCGGGAUGCCUGGCACGUGGGAGGCCUCAGCAAACGUGCCAUAAAUGACAUGGUGAAGCCGGGUCUAGGUGGACACGUGCACGGGCGCACGCGACUCCGUCCGUGAGGCCCACACAUCCAAGCGUGCAGCCUUGUGGGUCCGUGCACAUUUGUGCCCACCCGCGUGGCCACGCCCGGGUCGCUGACUUUUCCCCAAGAGAUUGGUGGUGUCGGUUCUCGACAUAAAAGGAACGUUCUUUCUGCA